GUGUCUUACAAUUUUUAGUAGUGAGGUCUUACAUAUUAUGUUCAUAAGCAUAUUUAAACCCCAUAAGAUAUUAGUAUUACUGACUUUAGAUAGUCAACAUUCAUUUGGAUUUACCCAUAUAUUCACUUUUUUUGUUUUAUAUUUCUUCUUGCAUACCCUUGCUUUUGUCCUUCUGAAGAACUUCCUGAGUUAUUUUUUUAAUAUGGAUCUGCUCAGUUUUUGAACCUGUCUCUAAGUAGAGACUUCAUUUAUGAAGAAUAUUUUCUGUGUUUAUAGAAUCUAGACUGGAUCACUGGACAAAAAAUGUAAUUUCACUGUUUUCUGACCUUCAUUAUAACUAGUGAAAGUAAGUUAUUAGUCUUCUACUGCUCUGAAUACAGUAUGUCAGGAUCUCUGGAUGCUUUUAAGAAGUUAAAAGAGCCAGUAAUCAAUAAUCACACCAUUCUCCCUGAGAAGGAAAAGAGCUUGUGCCUUCUAUUUGAAGAAACUAAGGCAAUAAGAUGCAACAGAUUUGCUUAAGAAAAUUAAUUCUCUAUCAAUUCUUUAGCAAAAAGAUCUACAGCAGAGAGAACAGGUCAGCCACAAAUCAUCAAGGGAGGUCUGGAAUUAUCCUCCAUCAAAUUGGCCUCCACCUGAUGGCUUAUAAUAACCCAUCAAAUAUUUUAUUACAAGGAUUUUUUAAAAGUCUUCUAUGCUAUCAGAAAGAAAACACCUAAUAACAUUGGUUUGUGCCUAAAUGUUGCAAAGAUAAAGUUGUUUGCACUGUAAAUCAUAUUGGUGUUUUAACAGUUUACCUCAAAUUUGUGAAUGAAAUAAAGUUUAUA